rnacentral:misc_RNA from 1 species
UUGACUUAUUUAAAAGUUUACUCAGAGAGACAUAAAAUAUCAAGAGUUUGGUUUCGGCACUCCGGCGGGCAGCCUCCCGCGAGCGGGAGACCCGAGGAUCCGGGGGCCCGAGGGCCUUCCGGACCGCCAGCGCCGAGGCAACCGUACGGGUAAGAUUCGCGAUGGUUUGUGGGAGUUUUGCAACUCUGUAAUGAUCCCUCCGCUGGUUCACCAACGGAGA